UAGCGUAUAUUAAAGUUGUUGCAGUUAAAACGCUCGUAGUCGGAUUUCGGGGCGCGCGGGCCGGUCUGCCGAUGGGUAUGCACUGGCGUUUGCGCGUCCUUUCGUUCGGAGCUCGUCGCUGCUCUUAGCUGAGCGGCGUCGGGAGACGGACCGUUUACUUUGAAAAAAUCAGAGUGUUUCAAGCAGGCAGCUCGCUCUUGCAUGGAUUAGCAUGGGAUAAUGAAAUAGGACUCUGGUGCUAUUUUGUUGGUUUCGAACACCGGAGUAAUGAUUAACAGGGACAGUCAGGGGCACUCGUAUUCCGCCGAGAGAGGUGAAAUUCUCAGACCAGCGGAAGACGAACCACUGCGAAAGCAUUUG
rnacentral:rRNA from 1 species